AACGAACGCUGGCGGCAGGCCUAACACAUGCAAGUCGAGCGAACCCUUCGGGGUUAGCGGCGGACGGGUUAGUAACGCGUGGGAAUAUACCCUUUGGUACGGAAUAGCCUCGGGAAACUGAGAGUAAUACCGUAUGUGCCCUUCGGGGAAAGAUUUAUCGCCAAAGGAUUAGCCCGCGUUGGAUUAGAUAGUUGGUGGGGUAAUGGCCUACCAAGUCUACGAUCCAUAGCUGGUUUGAGAGGAUGAUCAGCAACACUGGGACUGAGACACGGCCCAGACUCCUACGGGAGGCAGCAGUGGGGAAUCUUAGACAAUGGGCGCAAGCCUGAUCUAGCCAUGCCGCGUGGACGAUGAAGGCCUUAGGGUUGUAAAAGUCCUUUCAGAUGGGAACGAUAAUGACGGUACCAUCAGAAGAAGCCCCGGCUAACUCCGUG
rnacentral:rRNA from 1 species